GACGAACGCUGGCGGCGUGCUUAACACGUGCAAGUCGAACGGAAAGGCCCUGCUUUUGUGGGGUGCUCGAGUGGCGAACGGGUGAGUAACACGUGAGUAACCUGCCCUUGACUUUGGGAUAACUUCAGGAAACUGGGGCUAAUACCGGAUAGGAGCUCCUGCUGCAUGGUGGGGGUUGGAAAGUUUCGGCGGUUGGGGAUGGACUCGCGGCUUAUCAGCUUGUUGGUGGGGUAGUGGCUUACCAAGGCUUUGACGGGUAGCCGGCCUGAGAGGGUGACCGGCCACAUUGGGACUGAGAUACGGCCCAGACUCCUACGGGAGGCAGCAGUGGGGAGUAUUGCACAAUGGGCGGAAGCCUGAUGCAGCAACGCCGCGUGCGGGAUGACGGCCUUCGGGUUGUAAACCGCUUUCGCCUGUGACGAAGCGUGAGUGACGGUAAUGGGUAAAGAAGCACCGGCUAACUACGUG
rnacentral:rRNA from 1 species